rnacentral:rRNA from 2 species
GGGUUGUGAGGUUAAGCGACUAAGCGUACACGGUGGAUGCCCUGGCAGUCAGAGGCGAUGAAGGACGUGCUAAUCUGCGAAAAGCGUCGGUAAGGUGAUAUGAACCGUUAUAGCCGGCGAUGUCCGAAUGGGGAAACCCAGUGUGAUUCGUCACACUAUCGUUAACUGAAUACAUAGGUUAACGAGGCGAACCGGGGGAACUGAAACAUCUAAGUACCCCGAGGAAAAGAAAUCAAC